UUUAUCCCGUCUUUAUUAUUAAUGUUGUUUAUAUGGUUUUUUCACAUAUAAUCGGCGAUUCCUUUAUUGUUACGAUUCCAAGUGUAAAUCAGAUUUAUAUGUCAUGCCAAUUUUUUGGGGAAAAGUAAUCGAAACCUUGCUGAGUGCGACAUUUAUCAUCAGGUAUGAAACUUCUAUUUAUUUAUGGCUGACCUCCAUAUCUCUCUACCUAUUGACUUGGAUCUGCAUAUUCAAUCAAGAAUCUUUAAAAACAUCUAAGGUAAAACUACAUGAUGAUGGUUAAAUAUUGUUUGUUUAUGUUGUUCGAUCUUCAAUUUAUUCAAGAAAAGUUAAGCUUUUGAUGUUGAAAACCGUUUCGGCAGUUGGUAAUGUUUGUUGUUGUUCUUAUUUUUUGUAGAUCAUUAGACAUAUAGAGAAGGUAUGUAAACAAUAUUAGAUUGUUAUGUGUUUUAAGUAUUUUAACU